rnacentral:rRNA from 1 species
UCAUUACCUAGAGUUUGUAGACUUCGGUCUGCUACCUCUUACCCAUGUCUUUUGAGUACCUUCGUUUCCUCGGCGGGUCCGCCCGCCGAUUGGACAACAUUCAAACCCUUUGCAGUUGCAAUCAGCGUCUGAAAAAACAUAAUAGUUACAACUUUCAACAACGGAUCUCUUGGUUCUGGCAUCGAUGAAGAACGCAGCGAAAUGCGAUAAGUAGUGUGAAUUGCAGAAUUCAGUGAAUCAUCGAAUCUUUGAACGCACAUUGCGCCCCUUGGUAUUCCAUGGGGCAUGCCUGUUCGAGCGUCAUUUGUACCUUCAAGCUCUGCUUGGUGUUGGGUGUUUGUCUCGCCUCUGCGUGUAGACUCGCCUUAAAACAAUUGGCAGCCGGCGUAUUGAUUUCGGAGCGCAGUACAUCUCGCGCUUUGCACUCAUAACGACGACGUCCAAAAGUACAUUUUUACACUCUUGACCUCGGAUCAGGUAGGGAUACCCGCUGAACUUAAGCAUAUC